GGAGUGUCUAUGAUGAUUGCUGCAGUUAAAGAGUUCGUAGUCGAAGUGGUUAUAACGGUGUAACAGGCCUUCUCUCAAGGAGGGUUAUGCGCCGUGAUUCCAUGGAAUAAGGAGCGUUUAGGGGCCAGGUUAUUAAGCGACGAGGGGUGAAAUCUGGUGACUUGCUUAGGAGCAACAGAGGCGAAAGCGCUGGCCAGGAGCGAAUCCGAUGAUAAAGGACGUAGGCUAGAGGAUCGAAGACGAUUAGAGACCGUUGUAGUUCUAGCAGUAAACGAUGCCGAUACCGUGGUGCGGAUACGCGACGCGGAAGAGAAAUCGAGUAGGGCCCUGGGGAGAGUACACGCGCAAGCGAGAAAUUUAAAGGAAAUUGACGGAAGAACACCACAAGGAGUGGAGUGUGCGGCUUAAUUUGACUCAACGCGGGACAGCUUACCAGGCCCGACGGCCGGACGAGUGUUGUACACGAUAGGUCGAAGAGUGGUGCAUGGCCGUUAACGACGAGUGAGGUGACUUUUGGGUUAAAUCCGGGAAGUAGUGAGACCCCUACCGCAAGGGACAGGUGCCGAAAGCACAGGAAGGAAGGGUCAAGAACAGGUCAGUGAUGCCCUCAGAUGGUCUGGGCUGCACGCGCACUACAGUGGUCAUAGAAAUGAAACGAUAGAAUUAAAGAUGAUCGAGAGGGAAUGAGCUUUGUAAGAGGCUCAGGAACGAGGAAUUGCUAGUAAUCGCGGACUCAUUAAGACGCGAUGAAUACGUCCCUGUUCUUUGUACACACCGCCCGUCGUUAUCGAAGAUGGAGUCAGGCGCGAACAAGCGAGAGCGAGUGAGUGCAGGAUUCUAGAUGUGAUACAAGUCGUAACAAGGUAGCUGUAGGAGAACCUGUAGCUGG
rnacentral:rRNA from 1 species